GAUGAACGCUGGCGGCGUGCUUAACACAUGCAAGUCGAACGGUGAAAGAGAGCUUGCUCUCUGGAUCAGUGGCGAACGGGUGAGUAACACGUGAGCAAUCUGCCCCUGACUCUGGGAUAAGCGUUGGAAACGACGUCUAAUACCGGAUACGAGCUGCGAAGGCAUCUUCAGCAGCUGGAAAGAACUUCGGUCAGGGAUGAGCUCGCGGCCUAUCAGCUAGUUGGUGAGGUAAAGGCUCACCAAGGCGUCGACGGGUAGCCGGCCUGAGAGGGUGACCGGCCACACUGGGACUGAGACACGGCCCAGACUCCUACGGGAGGCAGCAGUGGGGAAUAUUGCACAAUGGGCGCAAGCCUGAUGCAGCAACGCCGCGUGAGGGACGACGGCCUUCGGGUUGUAAACCUCUUUUAGCAGGGAAGAAGCGAAAGUGACGGUACCUGCAGAAAAAGCACCGGCUAACUACGUGCCAGCAGCCGCGGUAAUACGUAGGGUGCAAGCGUUAUCCGGAAUUAUUGGGCGUAAAGAGCUCGUAGGCGGUUUGUCGCGUCUGCUGUGAAAACUGGGGGCUCAACCCCCAGCCUGCAGUGGGUACGGGCAGACUAGAGUGCGGUAGGGGAGAUUGGAAUUCCUGGUGUAGCGGUGGAAUGCGCAGAUAUCAGGAGGAACACCGAUGGCGAAGGCAGAUCUCUGG
rnacentral:rRNA from 1 species